AUGGCCUCCACCGACAGCUGGACCCACGAGAUCGAAUCGCCGGUCGCCGCACCGCGCCUCUUUCGCGCCGGCGUCAUGGACUGGCACACACUAGCCCCCAAGCUCGCACCACACAUCGUCGCCAGCGCCCACCCCGUUGAGGGCGAAGGCGACAUCGGGAGCGUCAGGCAGUUCAACUUCAACUCAGCCAUGCCCUUCAGCCUCAUGAAAGAGAGGCUCGAGUUCAUCGACGCCGACAAGUGCGAGUGCAAGUCCACCCUCAUCGAGGGCGGCGGCAUCGGCACCGCCAUCGAGACGGCCACCUCGCACAUCAAGGUGGAGCCGGCGGCCAACGGUGGGAGUGUCGUUAAGGUGGAGUCGACCUACAAGCUGCUGCCGGGCGUGGAGGUGAACGAUGAGAUCACCAAGGCCAAGGAGUCUGUCACGGCCAUCUUCAAGGCCGCCGAGGCCUACCUCGUCGCCAACCCGGACGCCUACAACUGA
rnacentral:rRNA from 1 species